rnacentral:tRNA from 2 species
GCUCCCGUGGCGAAAUUGGCAAACGCCUCUGUUUGAGAGACAGAGUUUUUACAGGUUCAACUCCUGUCGGGAGUACCA